CUAUGACUCUUAGACCACUUUUCCUGAACACAUGCACAAGAGCGAACCAACAAGCUAAUACAACCAGGAUUCUGCCUGCAAAGAAGGAAAAUGGAUUUGCUUAUUAAUGAUGCAGAUUGCCAGUCCUGCUGCUGGGUGCGGGGCAGCUUCUGAAGUCCUCCCCUGCCAGCCUGGCACUGUUCUGCUUUUCUGCCUCAGCUGGAAGGAACCCCACUCAGGCCUCAGAACAGGAGCUUCUGGGGCGGGAGGCGGUGGGGCAGGCGGAGCGGCCUCUGAGUGAGGAAGUCGGGGCCCACACCCCUCCAGGGAAAGUCCCUAAGCUGGACUGCCCGCCUGUCUUGGAGGCCUUAUGAUCAGCCAGGCCUGUCGUAAGUGACUGAAACCCAAACGGAUCUUCAGCACAAGGGGAUUUACUGGUUCUUACAAUGGUCGUGUUCAGGUGGAGUUUGGAUUUCAGGGUUAUUGUCAAGUCUCCCGGAGGGAGUCUGGGCUCCGCGGUCACCUGCACACGACUCUCCAGGGUCCAGAUUCCAUUCCUGACUGUGCAUCCGGGCUGGAUGACCCUGUUCAGUGAUGACCAGAAAUGUCUCUGAUAGCGGCUCCUGCGUCCAUUUACGUUGCCACACUGCUCCCAGCUGACCCACGAUGAACAAGCAGUGCUACUCACAGUCCACUAAACUGAUUUCGUAAUCCAUGAAAAGGCUGUGACCUGAAGUUUGUGAAAUAUUGUUAUGCAACCACCUGUGAACAGAACCUUGCCUUUUACUCUGGCAUGGUGACCCUUAAACCUGGGU